ACUCCUACGGGAGGCAGCGGUAGGGAAUCUUCCACAAUGGGCGCAAGCCUAAUGGAGCAACACCGCGUGAGUGAAGAAGGGUUUCGGCUCGUAAAGCUCUGUUGUUAAAGAAGAACACGUAUGAGAGUAACUGUUCAUACGUUGACGGUAUUUAACCAGAAAGUCACGGCUAACUACGUGCCAGCAGCCGCGGUAAUACGUAGGUGGCAAGCGUUAUCCGGAUUUAUUGGGGCGUAAAGAGAGUGCAGGCGGUUUUCUAAGUCUGAUGUGAAAGCCUUCGGCUUAACCGGAGAAGUGCAUCGGAAACUGGAUAACUUGAGUGCAGAAGAGGGUAGUGGAACUCCAUGUGUAGCGGUGGAAUGCGUAGAUAUAUGGAAGAACACCAGUGGCGAAGGCGGCUACCUGGUCUGCAACUGACGCUGAGACUCGAAAGCAUGGGUAGCGAACAGGAUUAGAUACCCUGGUAGGAUAGCG
rnacentral:rRNA from 1 species